rnacentral:pre_miRNA from 1 species
AGUGGGACAGUUGGGUCAUAUGGUAAUUCCAUUCCUAGUUUUUUUGAGGAAUAUCCACACUGCUUUCCAGAGUGGUUGUACCAAUUUGCAGUCCCACCAACAAU